rnacentral:rRNA from 1 species
UACGUAGGGUGCAAGCGUUGUCCGGAAUUAUUGGGCGUAAAGAGCUCGUAGGCGGUUUGUCGCGUCUGCUGUGAAAACUCAGGGCUUAACUCUGAGCUUGCAGUGGGUACGGGCAGACUAGAGUGCGGUAGGGGAGACUGGAAUUCCUGGUGUAGCGGUGAAAUGCGCAGAUAUCAGGAAGAACACCUAUGGCGAAGGCAGCUCUCUGGGACGGUACUGACGCUGAGACGCGAAAGCGUGGGGAGCGAACAGG